rnacentral:rRNA from 1 species
UACGUAGGGUGCGAGCGUUGUCCGGAAUUAUUGGGCGUAAAGAGCUCGUAGGCGGCUUGUCGCGUCGACCGUGAAAACUUGGGGCUCAACCCCAAGCCUGCGGUCGAUACGGGCAGGCUCGAGUUCGGUAGGGGAGACUGGAAUUCCUGGUGUAGCGGUGGAAUGCGCAGAUAUCAGGAGGAACACCGAUGGCGAAGGCAGGUCUCUGGGCACUUACUGACGCUGAGGAGCGAAAGCGUGGGGAGCGAACAGG